AAAUCUUCCUGUUUCGUUGCAUUAGGAGCUGUGUGAUUUUUCUUUACGGAGUAAAUGGGGAACACGUCUGCUACGCCGUCAGACAAAGACGGAGAAAAACCUAUGCUCCUGGCUGCACUGUUUGCCGUCAUAAUCCUUCUGUUGAUUCUGAUCAUACUGUUCAUCAGAAGACGACUAUUGCCGUGUUGUCUUGGAUACCGAUGAUAACACCGGAGGGACUGACUACGUCAACGCCUGUUUUGUGCACGGCUUCAAUUUUGACAAAGAGUACAUUGCUGCACAAGGUCCAUUCACGAACGAAACUCUCCUGGACUUUUGGCGACUGAUCUGGCAGAAUAGAUGUACACGUGUUGUCAUGCUAACGAAUCUGUUUGAAGGGGAUCGGGUUCGUUUUGCUUUGUAGAAUUUUAUUCAUACUAAAAGUUUACGUUUUAGCUAAGGGCACUCAGUGCAAUUUAACCAUUUUUCUCACAGAAAACAGUUGAUAUGAAUACAUUGACGUACACAUUUUGACACAGUACACAUGGAAAUUAUGCAACGUUUUAGAUAUUAUCAGAGAAUUGGUUAAAAGAGGCCAGUGAUUAUCGACACUUUCUCGCAUUUUGAAAAGAGAAAGAAAAUUAGUUGUUAUUACGUUUCAAAUUUAGCUAAAUCUCUGCUAUAUCUAGUUUCUACAUCGAGUUUAUCUAAAAAUAAAAUUAUUUUAAAAAGGAAAUUGAAUAUAUUUCACUAUAGUAAAACAUUGAUUCAAGAAGUGAUACAUGUAUUUCUGAUUCAAGUCCAUAUAUUAACCGAAAGUUUUUCGACCACAUUUGGUAGAUGAAGUGUCUCCAGUACUGGCCUGAAAACGAAGACAUGCGCUUUGGACCUUUCCUGGUCAGACCAGAAAUGCAGGACGUGUUUGAACAGUACACUGUCAGAAGACUCGUGGUGGAGAAGGGAGACGAGAAAAAACGGGUGACCCAGUAUCACUUUACAGCCUGGCCGGACUGUCGAGUUCCGGAAGAUAUGGACACGCUGUUGGAGUUCCGGAAUAUUGUCAUCAAAGACAUCGCGCCGGAAGAAGGACCGAUCGUUGUCCACUGCAGUGCCGGAAUUGGUCGCACCGGGACAUUUAUUGCUCUAGACUACCUGCUGAAGGAAGUGAUGACAAAAGAUAGUAUUGACGUCAUCAAUUGUGUAUCAAAACUGCGUCAGCAGAGGGCGUUUUCGAUUCAGACAGACAUGCAGUAUGCGUUCCUACAAGAAGCGAUUGUUCACGCUCUCACCCAUCAUGAUUAUCUUACUGGGCCCUUCCUUGAGGUGGAUGGAAUGUGACUAACGAGAAUAAUCUAGGUCUAACUCUUAAUUUUCAAACGGGAAUGAUACCAACUACCAAAGGGUUCUCCCGAUCAUUGAGAAGAUAUUAAUUAAUCAGAUCAAUACUUAUUGAUUAAAAUUAAAAAAUAUGAUAUUUUGCCUGCUUAUGAGCGUUAAAAAGGCAGAAAAAAUGCAGAUUAAAAGAUAAACAUCUGAUCUUUAUAAUAAAAAUCCAAAUCAUAAAUACAAAUUAACGUCACUGCCAUAUUCGGAUCUGGGAUAACCGCUGGCCAGUAUUCUGAUACUUUAAUUAAAGUUAUAUGACAAACAUGUUCUGCCAUACAGUGCCAUAAAAGUCAAAGUCUAUAGUGUAGAGAAUCAGUGGAAUCAAAUGCGACACCCUACAACCACCUUGCUGGACGAGUAUAAUAAUAACUGUAGGAGAUUUUGUAUUUUAGACGACAUUGUACAUAAUUACACUUUUUUAUACAUGUAUAUUUUGCUAUAUGUUGCACUUUGUUGGUUUUUUGUUGUUGUGAAAAUAUACAUUGUUUGUCGCUUCAUUAUGUUGUAAUAUAGUUAUUUUUUCUUAAAUUUAACUUUCUUUUGUGCAAAAUGUUUUAUCUAAUAAGUCAAGUCAUAUUUUGUUGUAAUUUGAUUUGUGUUAAAGUAGGUUAUUAUCUUCGUUAGAAAAUGAUAUAUUUAGCAUUUGUGUUGUAGAUAGUGUAAAUAAUGAUUUUAUUUUGUACUUGUGGGUUAAGGUUUUCAUAAUUCAUAGCUGUUACGAUCAUGAAACCAUACAAUAGAAGAAUGCUGGAACGGACUGGAAUUUGUAGUUGUGUGCAUACAUGUAUAUAACUUUCAAGUUUUUUUUUUAAUUUUGUUAAGAAUAUAUUGUUUUAUUUUUUUAAGCAAGAAAACUAAUAUUAUCUUACAUGAAAUGAAGAAUUUUGAAUAAUAAUAUGGAAUACUCAGUAUUAAAAAUAUGUUUUAAACACUAUCCCAUAACUGCCUCCAGCCCUCUUCCCCAGUUUUGCGCACUUCAAGUUUACAUUUUGUUUCAUAAUUAUGCAUAUAUCGUAUAAGAUAUAUCAUGAUUGCUAAAAUGAAAAAGAAAGAAAGAAAAAGCUGCUAAAUCUGACACUUUCUGUGUUAUUCUAAAUGCUGCUAGUAAUUACGGAUCAAAUCUUCUGUUUUCUUAAUAAAAACUAAUUUUUG
rnacentral:misc_RNA from 1 species